UAAUACGUAGGGUGCGAGCGUUAAUCGGAAUUACUGGGCGUAAAGCGUGCGCAGGCGGCUUUGUAAGACAGGUGUGAAAUCCCCGGGCUUAACCUGGGAAUGGCGCUUGUGACUGCAAGGCUCGAGUGCGGCAGAGGGGGGUGGAAUUCCACGUGUAGCAGUGAAAUGCGUAGAGAUGUGGAGGAACACCGAUGGCGAAGGCAGCCCCCUGGGUCGACACUGACGCUCAUGCACGAAAGCGUGGGGAGCAAACAGGAUUAGAUACCCUGGUAGUCCACGCCCUAAACGAUGCCAACUAGUUGUUGGGGAAGGAGACUUCCUUAGUAACGAAGCUAACGCGUGAAGUUGGCCGCCUGGGGAGUACGGUCGCAAGAUUAAAACUCAAAGGAAUUGACGG
rnacentral:rRNA from 1 species